rnacentral:rRNA from 1 species
GACUCUUAGCAGUGGAUCACUCGGCUCGUGCGUUGAUGAAGAAUGCAGCUAGCUGUGAGAAUUAAUGUGAAUUGCAGGACACAUUGACCAUCCCACAGUCAUCUGCAGAUGACUUCACCCCAUCUGUGACC